CUGCUUGGGGGUCAUGGAUAGGGGCAGAGGGGCUGCAGUGAGCAAUACAAUGCAGGGGAACCUUGCACACCACAUGGUGAGUUACAUUCAGACCCCCCUGCAAAUGAAAACUUCCCACCCCUGGGCUGUUUCCCGUUGAUUUGUCACAGAAGUGGACAGGUCCUGGACUGAGCUUGUCCAUGGGCUUCCCUCAGGAGGGGAGGAGGAAUGCAGGAGUCUCUUUACUUCCCAGUUCGGGAGGCCAUCUGGAUGGCUCUGAUCCACUCUGUGCGCUCCUUGGGGGUGGCUGCUUGCAAGAAAUAGUGCACUUCAUCUGCUGUGAUGAUCUCAAAAAGGUUCUCUUCCUCACUCUUCCUGCCUGGGGAAAGAGAAGGCAAAUGGCAGCACGCACAGGCAUCAGAAAGACCACUUGCUCCACCCUCCUCUGCAAGCCAUGAAAUCUCUGUUUUCUUCGUGUUCUAAGGAAAUUGACUAUGUGGCUUUCAAACAUACAAACAAGGUAUGAUUAUAGGAUAAUUCAUUGCACAGUUAUAUACAUAGUAUUGAUAGAGUAGAUACAUAGUAUGACUGUGUGUAUAUAUAUAUUUUUAAGAAAUAGGUAAAACACUUAAGGAGAAACAUUUUCUUUCAUAGUUUACAGGCAAACUAAAUUUCUCACCUUUGUAUAGCAACAGCGUUUAAUGAGUAACCUCUAAUAGUUUCUAAUGGGUACCUUCCCUCUGCUCAUAAUAUAAAUCAAGGGUUGCUCCUGAUAUCUACCUAUCUAUCUGUCUUUCUGUUAAUAUAGAUUUGUAUUUAUAAUAUAUAUUUAUAUAUUUAUAUUUAUAAUACAGAUGUGUGUGUGUAUAUAUAUAUAUGUUUAUAUACAUACACAAAGCCAGACCUACCAACAGUACCACAAGUUAUAGCCUGAACUGUUUUUCAUCAAGCACUAAGUCAGAGUUCUGCUGAAGACUAAAAGGCAAUAACCUGGCCAAUACUGUGACAAGAUUUAAAACAUCACAAAUCAAAUAAAGAACCAGCAUGCUCCCUGCCCUAAAACCAAAGUAUAAUUCUAGGUGGUGGGAGUGGAGGUGGGCAAAUUCAGGCACAGUAAAACUCUAGGCAUUUGCAGUUAUGAUGUUUUCCUGUCAGCCUUUAUCAUACUACAAACCAAAAUGUCAGGACAAAACCAGGGUUUGGGAUGUCAAAACCACAUCACCCCAGAGAUACAAUUUGUCCUCAGCACCUGAGAAGUCAAACUACACCCACGUGGUUAUUCCAUGCACCAAAUCAUAGCCUUGUGGUCUGGGGUCCUCUAGUGCAACCCCCUCACUGCUCUUCUUCUCAGCCAUUGUGAAGUGAUAGAGUUUUCCCAGCAUUGCUCAGGGACUUGCUUGAGGCAUCCACAAAGCCAUCCAACUCCCCAAGGCCUGGAGAGCCUGGACAGCAGUUGGGAGACAAAAAAUAACUCUGGUUUCUCCAAGGUUUUCAGACAGUAAAUUCAUUCCUGCUUUUUUUUUUGAGACAGAGUAUUGCUCUGUCACCCAGGCUGGAGUGCAGUAGCACAAUCUCAGCUCAUUGCAACUUGCCAAGCUCAAACAAUUCACAGGCAUGUGCCACCAUGCCCAGCUAAUUUUUGUAUUUUUAGUAGAGAUGGGGUUUCACCACGUUAGCCAGGCUGGUCUCGAAAUCCUGAUCACAAGUGAUCUGCCCUCCUCGGCCUCCCAAAGUGCCGGGAUUACAGGUGGGAGCCACCAUGCCUGCCCCAUUCCUGCUUAUCCUGAUUAAUUGAUUGAUUGAUUAAUGUUGGCCCAGGAUGUCCAGGUGUGGGAGGGGAGUCUGAGCAGACCCACCUCUCUCACACAGAAAUUCAUCUUACCAUUUGAGUUGCUCUCCACUGAAGUCACCACACAGCCUCUCAAGUGAAUUGCUCCCAGGGGAUCUUCUGCCUAAAGAAGAAAGGAGUUGUUCAUUAUGUUUCCAAAAUGCAGAGUAUAGAUAGACCUCAUCCUCUUGGUGAAAAAGCCAGACUCACUCUAAUAUAGAUCAGGGCCCCCCAAAAUAAGUAAGAGCAGAAGGAGAUUAAAGAAAAACUGCUGACAGAUCUAAGGUCCUUCCAGAUCCUCCACACCCUGCUUCAGUGGGGCCAGGAGGCUCAAUGAGAAAAUGCAAGACGAUCUGGACUUCAAUCUGGAGAAAAGUGACAGGAGAGGUGGAGACACUGAGGUCACUGUAUCCCACUAAAAAAGAGCUACAUGUUUCCAGAGCUCUUUGGUCCCAUGCACCUGAUGCAGCAAUAUAACCACCCAGGGGAAGUCAAAUAGCCCAGUGCUGCAAGCGGAGGGUGAGCACCCUACCCAGAGUUGUCUUCAUGCUUUAAAAGUGGUUCAUUUUAUGGUGGAAAAAGUCCUCUUCGACAAUCAACAGCCCAAAUUGCUGGACUUAAACAAUACCCUCAUCCAAGUUGACCUGGAUGAGGAAUUAUCACCUUUAUGCAUAUUAAACCAUGGACUGAUUUAAUUCCCCUGAAAAUAUCAGAUUGGGGAAAAAUAUGUUGAGUUGACCAAAUAAAUUAUAAUAUAGUGAUAUUUUGUUCCAUCCCUAAGCUUAUACUGACCUCAGAGGCCCAAGAUCUCAGAUCUUUGCAUUGAAAGGGGAUAGAAAAAGGUAGAGGAGAAUGGGAGAAAAAAAAGUGGGCCAGUAAAGAGAAAAAGGGGAUAUCAACAGAGUAGAGAGGGGAAUAGGAAGCCCAGAUUAUAAAUGCAGUGGAUUUAUUUAUUUGAAUGGAUUUAUGAACCACAGGACCUUACCCCAGCAGGGUCAUAGUAGUGCAGGUAGGCAGGGUCUUCUCUCAAGAUGAACUUCCUCACUUUCCAGUUUUUCCUUCUAUGCCCCUGUAUCCAGGAUCAACAUUAAAAGAAGGGAUGGUGAAUUCCCAGCAUCACUCUGUACAAACAAUACCUACAGAAUAAUUAUUUGCUGAAUUGAGAAAAGAAAGAGAAAAUGAAAUACUAACUCCAGGAUAACAAUAUCCCGGCCUAGGUCUUUGUCAGGGAGAUAGUGCUACAGCCAAUAAAUAAUAUGGAUGUUAUUAGAUCGAAGAGGUGGAUUAAAUUAUUUCUAAUUAUUGUCUUCCAGUUUUAGUAUGAUAUAAGGCAGUACUAGGUACAAUGUGCUGUGUUAGGUAAUGUAGGGGGAAUAAAGAGGUUUAAGAUGCCCUGAUCUUUAAAGAGUUUAUGACCUAUGUUGAAAUAUAAAGUAGCAAAUGCCCAAAUCAAAUAAUUGGUAUAGAUAAUGGAUUCCAAAGGCAUUAAGUAGGGAAUAUGUAAUUGUGGGCUUUGGAUAUCAAAGAAAGCCUCAUAAAGACCUGCACUUAUCCAUGUGGGACACAGGAUUUAGAUGGGCAAGACAAAGGUGGGUAGGAGGACAACUGACAACACAAGAGCAGAAGUGGGAAUGCAAGAGACAUACUCAGGUGUUGAUGAAUAAGACCAGUCUGGCUAGAAUGUAGGGUUCAUGAAGAGUAGCAGAGGCAAGGUGGGAAAAGUGGACAGAGAUUUAGUGGAAAUAAAAGGCAGGGUUUGUUGUUGAUGGCUUUUGAGUAGGAAGUGAAAGAAUUACAAUUACAUUUUAAGAAGAUUAAUAUGGUGACAAAGUGCAGGAUGGACCAGCUGGCUAGAUUAAAGGAAAGCCCAGGAAAAGAUGGUAAGUAAAAAAGAAUUCAUUAGGGAAGGAUCACAAUAAUCCAGGCAUAAAAUCAUUAGGAACUAAACCUUAGGUAGCUGCAGUAGGAAUGGAAAUGCCUGUUGCUGUAACAGACAUGAUGAAGGAAGAAGAAGAGGCGGAAGAGGAGGAGGAGGAGAAAGAAGAAGAAGAAGAAGGAGGAGGAGGAGAAAAGGGGGAGGAAGGUAGGAGGAAGGAAAGAGGAAGGAAGAAAGAAAGAAGAAGAAGAAAGAAGGUGACGACUUGGCCUUUCCCAACAGAAUUAAACACUGACAUUGUCUAGACUGAGUUUUAAGGGCAGGAUUUGUGUCUUGCUUAUCUUUGUUUCCCAGGGCCACAGUGCCUGGCAUAUAGCAGCUGCUUCAUAUCUGUUUGUACUUGCUGUGAGUUACCAAGUUAUUUCCAUUAGUGUGUAGCAGAUUUUAAACUGUCAUGGUAAACCUGACUCUAUGAUUUCCCACAGGAAAUUCAAAUGACUUAACUCCAGAAGCCAAAAAUAGUAUUAUAUUAAAAGAUACGGAGUUUCUAUCUUGCCAAUACAAGAAAUAUUAUUUGUAAUUUCUAAAGCACCACAUAUUGGCAAGCAUGUAUACAAAUUUUCCAACAUUUUUCAUUUUACUUGUGCUGAAAGCAAUAAAACAUGUGUGGUCUUAGCAAACAGUGCCUCCUUCAUAAAUCCAGAGGUGCUUCAAGGAAGCUUUCAGAAAUGGGCCUAAGUUUUUUGGCAAAACAUUUGGUGAAGGAACUCACUUCCAAAGAACUUUCUACUUCCUGAAGGAUGGAGCUGGAACCCCUGCAGAGUCAUAUGCAAGGACAGAAAAUAUUCCUACCUGCUAUAUCAUGUCCAAAAUGGCUUUUGCAAAGCAUAGACUUCCAAAAGUAUACAUUGCUGCUCUUUGCCUUAACUAAUGUUGCCCUUCAGAAUAACGACACUAAAGUUGCCACCCCAUACCAUUUCCUCUUCACUGACAGACACACAUGUCAUGCUGUAUUAUGCAAUUGCUGGACAAUCACCAACUUAUUAUGAGCCAAUGGAAGAGGAAGGUAACAGGAGGAUGUGAAAUCAGCCAACCACCAUAUUCCCUUUAAGCCCUCACUGACAUCACAAUGUGACGUGUUGAAGAGUUGGAAGUUAGCAGGUACAUUUCUGGUCAUCUUUCACUUAAUGAGCAUUUUCUAAGGAGUAUUAAGAAAUGCAUGUAUGCCUCAGGUUUCCAAGAAUUGUUACUGAACUGUCAAAGCCAUCUACUUAUAUUUGACUUAAUUAGCUCCCCAAGUGUUCAUUGCCUAUGAUAAAUCAAGAAGGAUGCUGAACUCUGCAGCAGAUACAAGAGAAGCAUAUAUAACACAUUGUUCCUCUCCCUCAAGGAAUCUAAAUGUGGUUGAGAAUUAAACAAGCAGAUGCUUUAUUCAUUGUCAUAACAGAAACAAUUAUGUAAAAAGGGAUUAUACUGAAUAUAAUCUAAGAUCAUUCAUCCUCAAACUUGCUGCCAAGUAGGAUUAUUUAUCCUGGGAUGAGAAAAUAAUGGGGCAGGGAUAAUGGCCUCCAGUUAGCCACAGCUACUUCCCAUCUGUGAGGCUUCCCAUUAUAACAAGCCUUCUAUGAAGUUAAUCCUGGCUAACUCCCAGCAGUAAACACAAGGGAGGCUUACUUUUGGAAUUUUAAGAAAAAGUUUUUAAAAUUCUGAAAAUCCCUUGGGUGAUUUUGAUGUAAACUAUGGUUACUAACCACUGAGCUAAGAGAUUAGAAACAUUAAGGGGAAGUGUCAAUUCAAAUCGAAGAGGUUUUUGCUCCCCAACCUCUGAAAAAAAAUUCAGAGGAAAGAAUAUUGUAAAAGAACAAAAUUCCUGAAUGCACGUAGAUUUCUGUUUUCUUCACAUAAAAAGGAAGCUUCUAAGAAAGACUAUUUAACUUGUAUACUGAUAAUAGAAUAAAUUAGCUUUUAAGAAAAAGGCUGGCUCAGUGGUUCUCAGCUUUGGCUGCACAUCAGAAUCACUUGGGAGCUGUAAAAAUCCAGAGGCUCUGAUUAAAUUGGCCUGGCAUGCAGUUUUAACAGUUCCCUGGGAGAUCCAAAUGUGCACCAACCGAGCUAGCUAAGGCUAAAUUGUACCUAUCAAAGGCCAGACAAAGGAAGGCAAAGGAAAACACAUAAGUUCAAUCCUUGUCCCUAUUGUCUUCAAAAUACAUCCAGACACUCAUUACCCACACACAAUUUUUGACCAUCCCAGGUCUCCUACUGGGCUGCUUCACUGAGACGUGGCUCCAGUCCAGUCCCAACUUUAUCUACUGUUAGCCUUCAUCCUUGGCUUUCCAAGAGCCCCAUUCUAGAUUAGGGUUUGCCCAAUCAACUAAUUCAAGAAAUAACUGAUAACAAUAUAGAAUUAUGGAAGAAAUCAACAAAAUAAAGAAAUUUCCUCCCAAGUUACUCUUCUUGUCUUAACAGCCACAUUCCAGCACCUGCAAUCAAAGAGCCAGGAACAUAGGAAUAUUUGGCAAAACCAACGAGAAAGCAGCAGCGGGCAAACUGUCCGUAGGCAACUGCCCGAGCCUUCCCGGCAUAAGGCUGGCUCUGCCCCAUGCCUUUCUUUUAAUCUAGCCAGCUGGUCACCCUGUCAUAAAAAAAUACUAUAAUAGUCCAUGAAUUCUUUAUAAAUUCUUGCCAUAUAUUUCUUAGGACACUGUUCUCUUAAAACCUGAUAUGAAGGUAAUUUUUCCAUUCGAAUGUCCCACUUCCCCCUGUGAAACUCAAAAUCCAUACCUAUACCUCCUUUCAGCUAUCCCAGCCCAGAGUCCCUCUUUAUAAAUGUAAAUAUGGGCUCUUCUCUGGUUCUUCCCUCCUUGCCCAUUCCAUUAAUCACUAAGAUGGACAUUCAGGGUCCUAACAUGAAAUAAAUCAGAUCCCCCAGUCCCGUGGAGCCUAUAGACAGUACAUGGAAAUCUCCUGAUGGCAACAGAUUCUCUCCAUUAUAUACUGAGCAGCACUUUUAAGGCAGCUCACAGUGCAGCCAGGAAGGCAAGACCUUGGUCCUGCAAAGCAGCCUUGGCCUCUAAGAUGCCUUGUGCAAGUAUCAACUAGCUUCCCCCUGAAUAUUCUCAUGUCUUCCUGCGACUUCCUCCACCAGGUACUGGUCCUGGCUUCCUCAGUCAUCUUGGCCCCUGUCCAUCUCUUACCUCUUGGCAUCAUAUGCCUUGGCACCUGGUAACCGACUAGAGCUCCUCAGCACUCUCCAGCCCUUGCCUCCAAGACUGAUGGUGGCCUGUACCUGUGGACACCUGGACAUCCCCCCAGGACUCUGUCCAUGCCCUCAAUCUGCAUUUGACUUUUGCCUGCUGUUCCUGUGAACUGGCCUCUGCAUGCCCAGGUUUUGGUCUUGUCAUGCCCUAAGCACAGACUGGAAUGACUCUUCUUUGCUCUCAGUGGUGUACUCUGUUCCUCUUCUGGGUGUAGCCUGUUCCUGUUUUCCUGGUUGCUUUGAAGGGAGGAGGGACAGGUAAAAUGGAAGUACUUUUACCAUGAGACAGCUUUGUCUUUUGGAUGGCAUCUCUUAGACAAUUUAUCUCCUCCGGCCAUAUUUUUCUUGAAACACCUUUUUUUUUCCUAUGAUAUUGAUAAAAGAGGCAUUUUCCUACUUUUAGGGACAUCUUCUGCCCUGUCAAACUCAAUCUUCCUGAUCUAAAGCCACUUUGAUAUCUAAAGAGCUACUCAUCUAUCUUUCACUUUGUGGGUUUCAUUUUCUGCUUGACUAUUAACCAAACAAACCAAAAGUCACUGGGUAACUUAGAAACAAAAAGGACCUUGUAAAGGGAAAAGGCUAGAUGGGAGCAGUUGUGGCCACUCACCUGCUUCAGUAAACAUCCCUGCUUGAUAAUGACCCCUCUGAAUUCUUCUUUCAGAAUCACAUCAUCAUCACUGGAAUUCUCUUCACAGAAGAACCCACUGUCUGGCUGUUGGAAAAUCAA
rnacentral:lncRNA from 1 species